CCCGUAGCCGGGUUGGAGAUUCCACCUCCGAAGUUUUCUUUCUGACUUUUGAUUUUACAUUCCUAGUACAGUGGAGAAGCCCAGGCGGCCUAGAAUCCAGUGUCGUCCGUGAGUGCUGGGCAGGUGUUCAAGUGCAUCUUCCAGCCUGAGACCGCGUGGACUCGCUCAUCGUGAGGGCGAGAGGAGGAUAAGCCCAUUGGGCUGUCGGCUGAGAGUGAGGUGCGGGAUUCCAGGAACAUGAAGAUAAUGGGUGAGGCUGCUAGUCAGAAGCAAAAUGUCUAAACAAUUGCCCCCAGGCAAACUCUUGUCUCUCUGGACCUGGGUCUCAUUCUGUCGCCCAGGCUGGAGUGCAGUGGCAUGAUCAUAGCUCACUGAAGGCUUAAACUCCUGGACUCAAGCGAUCCUCCCACCUCAGCCUCCUGAGUAGCUAGGAUUACAGACUAUUCACAAUAUUGUUUGAACAUUUGAAGACAUGGGGGCCUCGCGAUCUGAUAUCUGAUAACAGACUUCUUGUAAAGCAGGACUGGUAGUUUCCUGAUAACAAAUUCUUCAAUAUGAAGAUAUGGAUAAAGCAUUUGGCUGCCAAUAAUGAAUUGCACCAAAGUCACCAAUUCAAACCAUGCCCUGAUUACUGAUGAAAUCCUUGGCAUCGUCGGAGAUCUCAUCAAAUGCCUCGUCGUCGAAGUCCCAGGUGGCAGAGGUAACGUUGGCCAAGGUUUCGUUAUCGUUGUCUCCCAUGAAGGGGGAAAGGCCACUGACUCUGGAGAGACAAGAGCAGGAGAGCAGGUGUGGCUAGGAGAGGGCGCGACGACCAGAUGAGGGAAUUGAGGCACAGCCCAGGCUCGAGUAACCUGCCCAAAGAUUCGCAGCCAGUGAGAUUGGAACCCAGGUAUCUGCCUCUAGAGCCUGUCCUCUUAAAUGCUCUACUAUCCUAACAUUUCUGUGAAGAUGAAGUAAAUUGCAGUGUUCAGCACUGGCACCAGGCCUGGUCCACAAUAAGGAAGCAGUCCGUGCCCGGAGAUCUCAUGCAGUUCUGCUGGGUUCCCUCCACUGCCUCACCAAGCUGUGAGUGCAGGAAUGACUUUAUGACCAGCAGCUUAAGCCAAAUAAACUUUAUAAGGUAAAGAAUUUCAAAACAAAAUAGAUAAGAUUUGUGGCUUAUUGACCUUACCUCUCACCUCUGUGCACCUCACCUUCAUAGCAACAACUCACCCCACUGUUCAUGCGGGCCUUGUGAGUCAGCCUUAUGGGUGUUUGACCAGCACAGUUGCCCACAGUCCCACCCUUAGACAGGCCCUGUGCUUGGUUUAAUGCUCUGCUGCUGUCAUCUCAAGAUUCUCAAUAAGGUUUGAACAAGUGGCCCCACCUUUUAUGUUGCAAAUUAUGUAGCUGUUUCUGCCCUGAUCUCAGCUGAGCCCCAUGAGAUGGGUCUGGGGGCCAGGCAAGGUGGCUCACGCCUGUAAUCCCAGCACUUUGGGAGGCCGAGAUGGAUGGAUCACCUGAGGUCAGGAGUUUGAGGCUAGCCUGGCCAACAUGGUGAAGCCCUGUCUCUACUAAAAAUACAAAAAUUAGCUGGGCGUGGUGGCAAGCACCUGUAAUCCCAGCUACUCGGGAGGCUGAGGCAGGAGAAUUGCUUGAACCCUAGAGGUGGGGGUUGCAGUGAGCCAAGAUCGCACCAUUGCACUCCAACCUGGGCGACAAGCGAAACUCAAUCUCAAAAAAAAAAAAAAAAAAAAAAAAAGAGAGAGAUGGGUCUGGGGCCCUCCUGCCAUCAACCUGUCAAGUUAGAGCUUUACCAAUGUCCCUUCUCCCAAAUGCUUAUGAAUCCAUCAUCAUCAGCCAAGCACUGACAGCUUCAGGAGUAAGGCUUUGGUUGAGUUUGACAGAACAAACCCCACUUGAAAUACUGGAGAAAAACCUUGCCAUGGGAGGAACCCUCUGGUGAAACCUUUUGUAAAGAGAAGAAAGCUUUUACAAUGUGAAUUGUCUCAUCCUAAUCAACAUAUUUGUGUUUCUGAGUAAUAGAUUUUUGUGGAUGGGAUUUUUUUUUUUAAGCAAGACCCUGAUUUAUGUUUUAAGAAGGCAAAGAGAAUCAUUCUCAGUCAUGUCCCCACGAGGGAAGGGUGGGCAUUUACCUGUCCCUGAGUCUGCACUGUUAUCUGCUGCUCCUUUCCCCUCUCUGGGCCUCAGUUUCUCCUUUUUUUUGAGAUGGAGUCUUGCUCUGUUGCCCAGGCUGGAGUGCAGUGGUGCGAUCUCCGCUUGCUGCAAGCUCUGCCCCCUGGGUUCAUGCCAUUCUCCUGCCUCAGCCUCCUGAGUAGCUGGGACUACAGGUGCCCGCCACCACUCCCAGCUAAUUUUUUUGUAUUUUUAGUAGAGAUGGGGUUUCACAGUGUUCGUUAGGAUGGUCUCUAUCUCCUGACCUCGUGAUCCGCCUGCCUCGGCCUCCCAAAGUGCCGGGAUUACAGGUGUGAGCCACCGUGCCUAGCCAGUUUCUCCUUUUAUACAUCAAGGAAACUAGGCUAGAUUUCCUAGGGGCCUCCCAGCUCUCUCUGUCUCUGGGACCCUGACCCCCACAUGGCCCAUGCAAGCCCCAUCAGGAAGCAGCCUGUCUCUUGCUUGUCAGCCACCUGCUGCUUCUUUACAUUUUCCACUGGAAACAGAGAGGGGGGAAGUCCGGCAGUACUCCAAAAGAUGCCAGGAAAAGCAAACAACCCUGCUGUGGAAUGCAGAAAGUUCCCCUUCUGCAAACCUCCUUUCCUUAUUAGGAACUAUAAUCCUGCAAAGAUAGGUCUUAAUCUCUGCAACUCUGGGCACAGUCAGGGAGAGCCUCCUCGCCUCUGGCCUCUGGCACUCCUCCUUCCUGGCAGCCUAUCCAUCUGAAAUACUCUCCUCACCCUGCCUGGCUCCUCGCCUGCCCAAGUUCCUCCAGCAUUCUCCCUAUUAAAGAGCACGUGUCUCGAAUAAAAAAUGGAAUACAUACACAGCAUGUUGACAAAGAGGGUGUUUGAAUUUUCAGUAAUGCUGUUGCUGGGUGGUGGGGUUUUACAGGAUUUUUAAAAACCUUUUUGGGGAACUUUUUCUUUAUUGCCAGAAUUUGCAUAAGGGAUCAUGUCCUUUAAGUUUUGUUUUUUUUUUUGAGAUGGGGUCUUGUUCUAUUGCCCAGGUUGGAGUGCAGUAGUGCGAUCUCAGCUCACUGAACCUCUGGCUCAAGCGAUCCUUCCACCUCAGUCUCCUGAGUAGCUGGAACCACAGGUGUGUGCCAACACAUCUGGCUAAUUUUUUGUAUUUUGGUAGAGAUGGGGUUUCACCAUGUUGCCCAGGCUAGUCUCAAAUUCCUGAGCUUAAGCAAUCCUCCUACCUCUGCCUCCCAAAGUGCAUUACAGGCAUGAGCCACUGUGCCCAGCCUUGUCUUUUUAUUUAGAAAAUAGUCAUUAUUAUUUUUUUUUAAUUUUUUUGAGACAGAGUCUCACUCUGUCACCCAGGCUGGAAUACAGUGGUGUGAUCAUGGCUCACUGCAGCCUCAACCUCCCCAGGCUCAGGUGACCCUCCCACCUAAGCCACCCGAGUAGCAGGGACCACAGGCGCAUGCCACCAUGCCCAGCUACCUUAUGUAUUUCUUGCAGAGAUGGGUUUUUUGUUUGUUUGUUUGUUUGUUUGAGAUGGAGUCUCGCUCUGUCGCCCAGGCUGGAGUGCAGUGGCACAAUCUCGGCUCACUGCAAGCUCCGCCUCCCGGGUUCAUGCCAUUCUCCUGCCUCAGCCUCCUGAGUAGAGAGAUGGGGUUUUGCCAUGUUGCCCAAGCUGGUCUCAAACUCCUGGGCUCAGGCCAUCCACUCACCUUGGUCUCCCAAAGUGCUGGGAGUAUAGGCAUGAGCCACUGCGCCCAGCUAGAUAACAGUUAUUAUUUGUUAAAAAAAUCAACCGGUCAACAAAUAAUGUUAGCAUUAAAACACCUCUUUAUCUCCCUGGUCUUAUCUAGUUUUUAACUAAUGGAUUGAUCUGUUUUUCACAAAAUUGUAAUCAGUCUGGGCAAGUCCUUGGAUGCUUUACUUUUUCUUCACUGGAUGUAUCAAGUACAGCCAGACUCUACACGUUGAUUUUUAAUGGUCAAAUUUUAGUCUUUGUGCUGAUGAAACACAAUGGUCAUGAAUGCAGGGCAUUCUAAUUUCUUAGUUCUCAGCUCAUUACAAAAGAAAUUCCCCCAGGGAAUCUGAUGUGGAGGCCUGUUUGGCUCUAGGGGCAGAAGGUUAGGAGAGGAGAGGGUGCAGAAAUGCCUCUUGGCAUUUCUGUGUGUGUGUGUGUGUGUGUGUGUGUGUGUGUGUGUGUGUGUGUGUGUGUGUGUUUUAAGAAAUGGGGGUCUUACUCUAUCAGCCAGGCUGGUCUUGAACUCCUGACCUCAAGUGAUCCUCCCAUCACAGCAUCCUGAGUAGCUGGGACCACAGGUGCACACUACUGCACCUGGCUUCUGUGUUGUGUUUCAAGCAGCAGACAGAUGCCCCGACUGUACCAGUGGCCAGCUAAGGGGACCACAUAUCUGCUGAUGGAACUACUGACUGCUAGGAAGGGGUUAGUCUUGUAUCCAUAUUAGCCAUCUGAUACUCUGGUGGGAGAGCGGAGAGGGCUGAGUAGGUCUACAGGAAGAGCUGUGCAUCAUUUUGUGGACUGGCUGAGGAAGCAGCAACCUGGGGUUUAGUUGUGUUAGUAUAAGUUGAAGGUGGUGGCUGGGCUUGGGGAGGGAACAGGAAUCCUAGGGCUGGAAUCAGAGCGUAUUUCCAGGCUCAGCAGCACAGAGGGCAGCGGCAGCCCCAGGUGGGGAAGGCAGAGGUUACUGGAUCUGGCUGAGGAGCCCUGCAGUCAGACCCUGGUCUGAGGAGGCCCCCAAUGCCCCGGCACUGUGACCCCUCCUCAGCUGACUGGGCAGCUGUCACCGGAAGAGCUGACCUGCCUCCCUGCCAUACACACCUCUCCUCCCUCCUGGCAUCUCCUGACCACACACCAGGGUGGGGAGGGACAGCUGACAGCUGUCUGCACCAUGGUGGGUGUUGGACAAACAAACAAGCAUGAAUGGGAAGGCUGUGCUGCUGGGCCUGGUCAGGAAGAGACAGAAGGAGGAAGCAGAGCAGCCAUUGCUGGUUCACUCUGGCUUGAGGGAGGCUGGGAGAGAAGGCAUUGUGGAACAGGGUGAGGGAAGGGCUCGGAGAAGAGCUGUUGUGGCCUCCCCACAGGUAGCAAGGAAGUACCAAGUCCAGGAAGUAGGGGAGGGAGACAGCAGGGGGAGGAGGGCUCUUUUUUUUUCUUUUUUUGAGACGGCUCCCAGGCUGGAGUGCAGUGGUGCAAUCUCAGCUCACUGCAAGCUCCACCUCCCGGGUUCACGCCAUUCUCCUGCCUCAGCCUCUCCGAGUAGCUGGGACUACAGGCGCCCGCCACCACACCCGGCUAAUUUUUUGUAUUUUUUAGUAGAGACGGGGUUUCACCGUGGUCUCGAUCUCCUGACCUUGUGAUCCGCCCGCCUCGGCCUCCCAAAGUGCUGGGAUUACAAGCGUGAGCCACUGCGCCCGGCCUGGGAGGAGGGCUCUUAAACGGAGGCGGGCUUAGGAUUUCUUCCGUAUGGAAGUGUGGCCUCCAGCUCUCUGGUGUUCUCGCUUCCUGCCAGAAACCACAUGGCUAUUGCUAACUUCAGAAGGUCUCUAGGUACUCACACAACCUACUAUCUCCCUUCAGGAUCUGAGGUGAGAGUGUGGGGGCUCCACGACCCCAUCCUGCUCCUUCCCUAUAGGGCCAGGAACUGCCCUGAUGGCUGGGCUGGGUGGGAGAGAGUAAAGUCACAUCGUCCUAUGGUGACACGGUCUGUUGCCUUCCCUUCCAACUCCCUGGCCUCUCCAUCUCUCACUAGCCCCAGAAAGGAGAACAAGAGGGGCUCUCUGGUACAAAGGUGGAAGUUGACCUGACAGGGACUGCCCAACAGAUGACUAGCCUCCAAAGAGAGGGACAGAGUGGGGCGGAGGAUGCCAUGAGAGCCACCAGAGAGCCUCUUUUGGGUGCUCCCAGCCAUGGCUCUGGAGUUCUGCAUAGCAGGAGCUUAAAGGAAACCAUCUCCUUGGCGCCAAUGUUUGUUUUCAGCACCACCCUCUGCUGAGAGCCCUGGCUUGGGAGGGGAACUCCCUGACUUCCAUCCAUGCUGAAAGAGCCAGCCUGGAAAAGCCCCAGAGGGCAGUGGCUCACAGUGGGGGUCCAGGACCUAAGAUGUGGCACAGGAUUGAUCCAGGCUGAGUCUGUGCCACCUGGCCUGGGUCCUUGCCACACACACCCCUCCUCCUUCCUGACACCCUUCUGCCCAAGCACCGGCAGCAUCAAAGCUAUCUUCUCCCCAUUUCCAAAACUCUGCCCUAGUUCGCUUUAAAAGCAAUCUGGUAAACAAGGUAGCAUAGUGCCCAAAUUACUAUGUUCCUCCACCUAAAAGAACUCUCAUUUGACAAUAAAGUGCCCUAUGACCCAGUUAUUCUAGUACUAGAUUAUAUAUCCAACAGAAAUGUAGAAAUAUAUUCACUGAAACACGUGAACCAGAAUGCUUCCAAUGGCCAAACUGGAACCCACUCAAAAGCCUAUCAAAGCAGAAUGGAUAAGUUAACUGGAUUAUAUUCACACAAUGGGAUACUGCAUAACACUGAGAAUAAACAGUCUACAGUGACACAUAGUUCUAUGAAUGAAUCUCACAAACGAUGUCAAGCAAAAAAAGCCAGACACUUCUUUCUGUAUGAUUUCAUUGACAUUAGCCAUGAGGGUAAUGGUGACCUCUGGGGGUUGGUAACAGGGAGGGGCGCCAGAGGGCUGUGGGGGCCUGGCAGUGAUUGGUUUCUUGAUCUGGGUAGAGGUUACACAGGUGAAAACUUAGUGAGCAGUCUAGUCACUGCUCUGUCACUGACCAGUAGAGAGACCAAUUGUCCUGGUUUGCCUGGGACUGUUCCCAUGUUAGCACCGAAAGUCCCAUAUCCUGGCAGACUGGGAUGACUGGUCCCCUGGCCCAACUGUGGGAAGUGGGCAGCCACAUGGGCUUCCUUGGCCUCUGUCACCUCAACGCCACAUGAAGAUGGAAUCCCUGCCAUGACCCACUCUUGGGUUUGUUCUGAGGAUCAAACAAGGUCCUAUGCGAAAAUCUGUAGCUGCAGAAGAUCCUGAUGCCAUGGCAGUCGGAAAACCCACUGAAGAAUAAACAGUAAGGCAAGUCUCCAUGAUGGCUGGAGGGGGACCCUGGGACCAAGCCAGACCACAGGGCAGCUGGGGCUGAACAGAGAGAGCUGACCAAGGACUGCUUCUCAAGGGUCUGGUGUUUUUCCCAGGGCCAGAGGUUAGCACUGCCCAGGCCUGGGGCUGCCCUGAAAGGGGCAGGCUGGCCCUGCCCCCUACCCUGCUGUUCCUUACUUAUCUAGGGAGCCAGGAGUCAAGCUCCAGUCCAGCUGCUGUCUCCACUUGUCAGCGCUCCUUCUCCAAGAGGGGGCGGGGCAGGGAGACAGGCAGGGAAAUGCACACUUGGCCCGGGGUUUUUCUGCUGAUCCGGGGAAGGCUGUGGUGGUGGAGCUAAUCCCAGGCAGGAAACAGGAUAACUGUCUGGGCUACAAUGCCUGUGGUGCAGGUUCCACUGAGGGGACUGUCCUAACAGGCCACAGUGAGUAAAGCUCCUGAGCAUGUGAAAAAGUCACAUUGUACAAAAGUCACCCCACUUCUGCUAAAGUUUUCGUAACACUGGUUUCUAAACCUGGCUGUGCAAAUCGCCCAGAACCUUCUCUCACACUGGAGUCUGAAGGCCUCAGGGGUCUAAGAAAAUAUUCAUAGAGGUCUUCUUCAUUUUCUAUGAAACUGUUAGAUUUUUCCUUUUGACAGUAAAAACAUUAUCGAAUGAAAGCAUACGCAUCUGCAUCUUUGGGGACACCAUCCCAUAACUGCAUGUGGCCACACAGGUUCAGGGGCUGCCACACAAGUUCUGAGACUAAUGACUGUCCGCACCCUGGGGCUUCAGGGACUAAAGCAGCCAGACCACACCGACAGAGUGUUCUCAAGCCUUGUUACUCAGAGCGCAGUCAUUGAACCAGCACAUUCGCAAACCUAGAGCCUGUUAGAAAUGUGGCAUUCCAGGUCACCCAGACCUGAACAAAAACCCUGCAAGGUAAGGAGCCGCCUAGGUGAGUCAGGCAUGCUAAUGUUUGUGAAGCCCCGGCCUAGAUGGCUGGCCUCCCCUCUCCUGCAUUAUUGUUCAUUGAAAUGGCUUUGGAUUUCCCACCUGAUUUUUCAGUUCUAAUUACUGUAUUACUUUCUUUUAUCUGUUAGUCCCAUUGAAGGCUCGAUCAUCAAUAGUGUUUAUUAAUUCACCCAUAUACUAGAUUCAGAGAUGAGGCUGGUAGUUGGGGUCCCCAUGCCAUGGGGAUGGAGUGCUAUGCCCUGAAGACAAUGAGGAUGCCCAGAGAUUCGCCCCUGGCCUCCUGCUCUCCUUCUUUGUAGACCCACACAAGUGAGGUUUUAUUACUUGGUGCCAGCCACAUUUCCCACCCUCCUGACCAAAGGCCCCAGGCUGGCCAGCCUUGGAGACAGUGAGCACCCAGAAUGGGGAUCUUGGCAUGUGUAGCUACAUGAUGCUACAGAAUAUGCAUGCUACUGACUCCCUGGGAGCCCAGGAGCAGGGUGGGCUGCCAGAGAUGGGAGGGGAGGCUGCCACCCUCCUGACUCUGGGGCGGGCUCCCCAUCAUGACAAUGGCAGGGCAGCCUGGGGACCCUCCUGUGGAACCCUCAGCCCCCACCCACCGGUCCACCAAGUGGUCCACCAGUCCACCAAGUGCCCCAGGACUCACAGGAUGUAGCAGAUGACCCCAAUGCUCCACAUGUCUGUGGCGUAGCCGAUGGGCUCAUAGUUGAUCACUUCAGGAGCCACAAACUCCGGGGUGCCAAAGAGGACCUUCAGAGACCCUGCGUUCUCUGAAACCAGGAUGGAGAAGGAUAAAUUGCCAGCACAUCACGGAGCCACCUUGAGGCCAGCAGCUGCCCGAAUCUGUGUGUUGACCCCAACCUGGGAGGGGCCAGACACAGGCUUCGGCACAGAGAACAGGCACAGAGACAUCUGACCUCCUUGUUAAACAGCUUGCCAACUCCCAGUUCCAAGCUAAGUAUGGUAUUCUGCCCACUGGUGCUGCUGCCUGGCCUUCCCCAGGCCCUGUGACUCCUGCCCUCCCUGCACCCUCUCAAGAACUUGCUCAAGGUUUAACUUUAAAGAUAAGACACUUCUCCACAUGUCCUCACAUGCCCACACUGCCUGGACUAAGCAACCUGUUCUAGAAUAAAUGUGAAAAGAUGCA